rnacentral:tRNA from 1 species
GGAUAUAGUUCAGUUAAUAGAGUGCUUGCCUCACAUGCAUUAGGUCUUGGGUUCAAUCCCCAGCACCA